GCCUACGGGGGGCAGCAGUGGGGGAUAUUGCACAAUGGGGGGAACCCUGAUGCAGCGACGCCGCGUGGGUGAAGAAGCGCCUCGGCGCGUAAAGCCCUGUCAGCAGGGAAGAAAAUGACGGUACCUGAAGAAGAAGCCCCGGCUAACUACGUGCCAGCAGCCGCGGUAAUACGUAGGGGGCAAGCGUUAUCCGGAUUUACUGGGUGUAAAGGGGGCGCAGACGGCGAUGCAAGCCAGGAGUGAAAGCCCGGGGCCGAACCCCGGGACUGCUCUUGGAACUGCGUGGCUGGAGUGAAGGAGGGGCG
rnacentral:rRNA from 1 species